CGCGCUACUCCGGCGCCGGGCUGUGCUCACGAGUCAGGUACCUGAAGUAGCGCGC
rnacentral:precursor_RNA from 1 species